CCGCUCCGGUGGCAUAGUGGUUAGAGCCUCCGCCUCGGAUGCGGAAGGUCGCGGGCUCGAACCCCGACCUAGUGGU